rfam:Brassica oleracea var. oleracea cultivar TO1000 chromosome C5, whole genome shotgun sequence
GGAAGUUAAGAAACGGUUUCUUGACUUUUAAUUAAAAAACUAAAAACCAAUUCUUAAAGUCUUUAUUUAAGAACUGGUUUUUAGUUUUUUUAGUUAAAAAUUAAGAAACAAUUUUUUAACUUCC